UGAACGCUGGCGGCGUGCUUAACACAUGCAAGUCGAACGAACCUUCGGGUUAGUGGCGGACGGGUGAGUAACGCGUGAGAAUCUGCCCUCAGGAGGGGGAUAACGGCUGGAAACGGCCGCUAAUACCCCAUAUGCCGAGAGGUGAAAUGAAUUUCGCCUGAGGAUGAGCUCGCGUCUGAUUAGCUAGUUGGUAGGGUAAAGGCCUACCAAGGCUUCGAUCAGUAGCUGGUCUGAGGGGAUGAUCAGCCACACUGGGACUGAGACACGGCCCAGACUCCUACGGGAGGCAGCAGUGGGGAAUUUUCCGCAAUGGGCGAAAGCCUGACGGAGCAACGCCGCGUGAGGGAUGAAGGCCUCUGGGCUGUAAACCUCUUUUUCUCAAGGAAGAAGAUCUGACGGUACUUGAGGAAUAAGCCACGGCUAAUUCCGUGCCAGCAGCCGCGGUAAUCUGAUGGCGCGAGG
rnacentral:rRNA from 1 species